UCCUGGCGCAUGAACUCUUUGCGCGUAAGCUCCAUGCCCCGCUGCAGGCCCCGCACAUCUUGGAGCACACUGUCGAGCGACGCUGCCAGAAUGCAGGGAGAGAGCAGGGUGAGACAAGGAAGGAAAACCUGAGUGGAACCAUCUGACUUGUUUAAUGGGGCUUUCCUUCUCUGGAGAUGUUGAAACAGAGGCAGGACAGCCAUCUACUAAAGAUGCUGUAGCAGUCUCCUGCACUGAGCAGGGGGCUCAACUAGAAGCCCUCCAAGUUACAACCCCUCUAGUCAGAGGUUCAGCCUGCAACACUGUAGAUAUCUGAUCUAGAGGAGGGCAAUGGAUUUGCAGGAUGGGGAAAGAGAAAAGGAGAGUUUACCCAGGAGACGGCUGCCUCUGUUUUGCCCGGUUCCCACCUGUGACUUGGAGCCCUCCAUGGAGAUGAACAUUUCACCCAGGAUAAAGUUACACCUUUGUAGGAGUUUGCUCUUAGCACAAGCAGGAUACUUGGCAGACUGACAGCCCAAAAGCAUGCAGUUUGCAAGCAAACGGUAACAUCCACACAAAACUGA